GGGUGUAGUUUAGUGGCAAAACAACGGUCUCCAAAACCGUUGAUGGGGGUUCGAUUCCCUCCACCC
rnacentral:tRNA from 1 species